rnacentral:rRNA from 1 species
GAUGAACGCUGGCGGCGUGCUUAACACAUGCAAGUCGAACGAUGAAGCCCAGCUUGCUGGGUGGAUUAGUGGCGAACGGGUGAGUAACACGUGAGUAACCUGCCCUUAACUCUGGGAUAAGCCUGGGAAACUGGGUCUAAUACCGGAUAGGAGCGCCUACCGCAUGGUGGGUGUUGGAAAGAUUUAUCGGUUUUGGAUGGACUCGCGGCCUAUCAGCUUGUUGGUGAGGUAAUGGCUCACCAAGGCGACGACGGGCAGCCGGCCUGAGAGGGUGACCGGCCACACUGGGACUGAGACACGGCCCAGACUCCUACGGGAGGCAGCAGUGGGGAAUAUUGCACAAUGGGCGAAAGCCUGAUGCAGCGACGCCGCGUGAGGGAUGACGGCCUUCGGGUUGUAAACCUCUUUCAGUAGGGAAGAAGCGAAAGUGACGGUACCUGCAGAAGAAGCACCGGCUAACUACGUG